GUAGGUGGCAAGCGUUGUCCGGAAUUAUUGGGCGUAAAGCGCGCGCAGGUGGUUCUUUAAGUCUGAUGUGAAAGCCCCCGGCUCAACCGGGGAGGGUCAUUGGAAACUGGGGAACUUGAGUGCAGGAGAGGAAAGUGGAAUUCCACGUGUAGCGGUGAGAUGCGUAGAUAUGUGGAGGAACACCAGUGGCGAAGGCGACUUUCUGGCCUGUAACUGACACUGAGGCGCGAAAGCGUGGGGAGCAAACAGGGAUUAGAUACCCUGGUAGUCCACGCCGUAAACGAUGAGUGCUAAGUGUUGGGGGGGUUUCCCGCCCCUCAGUGCUGCAGCUAACGCAUUAAGCACUCCGCCUGGGGAUACGGUCGCAAGACUG
rnacentral:rRNA from 1 species